UGAGGUUCUUUAACCUUUACAAUCAUCUCUGCUUUCGCAAAGACGUCUGCAGCGGUAGGAAGAAUGGAUGCGCCUACAGCGAUGUA
rnacentral:sRNA from 1 species